ensembl:lncRNA
CCUCUGGUUCUCCUUGUGUUACUCACUCUCUCUUUCCUUUUCUCUCCACAGGUAUCAACUUGGGCACAAUAGCACAGUUAGUUUGCUUUGAAUGGCUCUCACCUCUGGGCUGAACACAGCGUACUGUAAGUACAGUUUUCCUCGGUCUCUCCUCGUGUUACCCACUCUCUCUCCUUUUCUCUCCACAGGUAUCAACUUGGACACAAAGCACAGUUACUCUGCUUUGGAUGGCUUUCACCUCUGGGCUGGACACAGCGUACCAUGCUAUCUCCGGAGAUCUGAAGCACGCUCACAACAUAUACUGUACUGAACUAGGCUAGGACCAGCAGUCUCCUUGUCCUCCCGCGACGAAGUGCGUGAAGGCGGGGGUUUAUCUGACAGGACACACGGCAAUACACAGCAGCCCACAGCAAUAUACAACACCACGUCAAAAUUAUAGGUUUUCACAGCACGAAGACUCACCCACCACACUCAGUGUACGAAAAGGACACCCGUCUUCCUUCACUUCGCUUGGUUCGGAUCUGGCGAUGGAAUAUGCGGCCUAGCUAGUGAUGUCGUCGUUGUGACUACUUCAAUAAGUAUUCCUUCGGCUC